rnacentral:other from 2 species
AAGUGUCUGGAAUAUUUGUGGAGCUCUUAUUUUGAACCUACAUUAUAGAAAAGGGAGUUCAAUAUUUAAAUGUGGAUAGGACUAUAAGACCAAUUUAAGGCAAGUACUAAGAAGCAUUUGUGAGAACACCCACCUAUCGGAGAGAUAGGUGUCAAGAUCAGAGCAGCGGUAUUUCGGAUUUAUA